rnacentral:lncRNA from 1 species
AUACGUUGGGUAUGGGCUCCAUGUGUUUAUGGGCCAUCAGUGUAUAGGUCCAUGUUAUGUUAUGGUCAUGUUUACUGUAGGGGUCACUAUAGGAUCGAUCUGGAGGAGUGGGAGCACGUGACCUGCAUGAAAACCGUGUCCUUGAAGAGCGAAGAGACCGUGAAGAGCAACGCCUGAAAGGGAAUACGUGGCUGUCGGGACCUGCUUAAUGCAGGGGGAGGAGGUCACGUGUAGGGGCAGGAUCUUCCUGUGGAGCCUGAAGGACAACGAGCUGACGGGGAUGGCCUUCAUCGACACCCAGCUCUACAUCCACCAGAUGAUCAGGUGGGGCUGCCCCAUAAGUGCCCCAUAGCCCCACAUCUGCCCCAUAGCCCCACAUCUGCCCCAUAGCCCCAUAUAUGCCCCAUAACCCCAUAUAUGCCCCAUAACCACAUUGCUGCCCCAUAACCCCAUAUGUGCCCCAUAACCUCAUAGACCCCUUAGUGCCCCAUAACCCCAUUUGUGCCCCAUAACCUCCUUGUUCCCUAUAGCCCCACAUGUGCCCCAUAACCCCACAUGUGCCCCAUAAGUUGUGCCCCAUAACCCCAUAACCCCAUAACUGUGCCCCAUAACCCCAUAACCCCAUAACCCCAUAACCCCAUAACCCAUAACCCCAUAACCCUAUAACCUUAUAACCCCAUAAAGAGAGAUCUUCUAGUCUCUUUGUUCUCACUGGGUUUCAUUGUUCUCUAUAGUCUCAAUUG